GAUAGCCUUUCGAAAGAAAGAUUAAUACCCGAUGGCAUAAUGAUUCCGCAUGGUUUCAUUAUUAAAGGAUUCCGGUAAAGGAUGGGGAUGCGUUCCAUUAGGUUGUUGGUGAGGUAACGGCUCACCAAGCCUUCGAUGGAUAGGGGUUCUGAGAGGAAGGUCCCCCACAUUGGAACUGAGACACGGUCCAAACUCCUACGGGAGGCAGCAGUGAGGAAUAUUGGUCAAUGGGC
rnacentral:rRNA from 1 species